rnacentral:tRNA from 1 species
GGGGAUGUAGCUCAGCUGGGAGAGCGCGGCGUUCGCAACGCUGAGGUCGUGGGUUCGAGUCCCAUCAUCUCCACCA